GAAAUCUAAAUAAUACAAUACAGAUAUCGUCUCGCAAAUUUUACGCAUAUUUAUUUCUAUUUCGGUCUAUUUGUUUUCAAUGUUUCUCGUGCCGGUGAGUCGAAUAUCGUUAUUAACUAAAGGUGAUUGAUAUCGUUUACUAGAGUCAUAAAGUGCGCAAACGAAAUGAAUUUAUACCCUUUUAACUUUCUUAUCGUGUUAUUAGUAUUUAUGAAUGUUGGAUUUAAAGAUGUUGAAACUGAAGGAGUAAAAACAUGUCACUAUCGUUAUUCAUUAAACUGUGCAAAAUUUUGCCAAAUCAAAGGAACAGGCGCUAGUAACUGCUGGCCUGGAUUAUGUAGCUGUAAAUCA